GAUGAACGCUAGCGGCAGGCCUAACCCAUGCAAGUCGAACGAGUGGCGAACGGGUGCGUAACGCAUAUGCAAUCUGCCUGUAACUGAGGAAUAGCCCAGAGAAAUUUGGAUUAAUACCUCAUAGUUACAGAUGAGCAUGCGUUUUAUUCGCUUGUUGGUAAGGUAAUGGCUUACCAAGGCAAUUAUAGAUAGGGGGCCUGCAAGGGUGAUCCCCCACACGGGUACUGAGACACGGACCAGGAUCCUACGGGAGGCAGCAGUGAGGAAUAGUGCACAAUGGAGGAAACUCUGAUGCAGCCAUGCCGCGUGCAGGAUGACGGGCUAUGUGUUGUAAACUGCUUUUUUACAAGAAGCGUAUUGUAAGAAUAAGCACCGGCUAACUCCGUGCCAGCCGCCGCGGUAAUUC
rnacentral:rRNA from 1 species